rnacentral:rRNA from 1 species
AUACGGAGGAUGCGAGCGUUAUCCGGAUUUAUUGGGUUUAAAGGGUGCGUAGGCGGAUUGUUAAGUCAGUGGUGAAAAGCCCUCGCUCAACGGGGGUCGUGCCAUUGAUACUGGCAGUCUAGAGUUCCGUUGCCGUGGGAGGAAUGAGUAGUGUAGCGGUGAAAUGCAUAGAUAUUACUAAGAACACCGAUUGUGAAGACAUCUCACGAAGCGGCGACUGACGCUGAGGCACGAAAGCGUGGGGAUCGAACAGGAUUAGAUACCCUGGUAGUCCACGCAGUAAACGAUGAUGACUAACCGCCGGCGAUAGAGUGUUCGGUGGCCAAGCGAAAGCGAUAAGUCAUCCACCUGGGGAGUACGACCGCAAGGUUGAAACUCAAAUGAAUUGACGGGG